UGCGAAGCUCCGCCGCAGUGGCACUCUUUGCGAAGCAGCCGCCGCGCCGGGCGCCGCCCGUCCGUCCACCCGGCAGCGGAUCAGUGGGUCUGUCCCGCUCCCGGCUGCGCCGGACGCGGGGUGGCCGGCCAACCUGCAUCAGACUCUGAACGGCGCGUGACGCCGCGUAGCCCCACGAGCGCAGCUAAGGUGCGGACCCACCCACUCGCUGGUCCAGUCGCCCGACGGAGCGCUGCCGCUCGCCGCUUGCAAGUUCAAGGUCCUCAUGAGAAGCCAAGCAGAUGCCAACACCACACAUUUGGAUUUGGCAGACUCCAGAACCCUGGAAACAACUGACCAACCCUCCUGCUGCGUCCCAUCCCAUGCUGUGACCAUGGAGA